GAGACGGGUCCGAAGAACAAAUCCGAUCCAUUUUUUUGCGGGAAUUGCGGAGCGGAUGAUAAUGGAUCCGACCCGAAAUGACACGGUAAAACGACGACGACGACUAGGUAGACUUUCUUCUGUUAUGGGUUUACAUUUGAAAUGAGUGUUGCAGAAUUUUGUAACGGGUUUCGGAUUCAGAAUCCGCAACCCAUGGAUAUCGCUGGAUUAAGAUCAGACGGUGGAAAAGCUUCAUGGAUCUCAGUGAGGCUCCGCUGUCUGAGCUCCGGCCAAGACAGGCAAAUCCUCUUAAACUUUCUUACGUGGCUUCCACUGCGGGCGAGUCUUUCUGAACCGCGUUCCGAAUGAGACAGCUGAACCGGACUCCACGGCCUCGGGUUACAGAACCGCGGUUCUUGUCCUUCUCGGUUGGAUUGGAGUGCGAAAGCUUGUUCUUUGGGCGGCGAUCUCCGGACUUGCCGGGAAGAACAGAAUAUCUCAUAUCUGGUUACAUCAUUUAACAGACGAAAUGAGUGCAAUUCUUACGUCAAAAUGCUCUACAGCAACAAAGAACAUUCUUACAGAUGAGGAUCAACCUCAAGGUGGUGGACAACUCUGGUGCAAAACAGGUCAUGUGUAUACAAGCUUUGAUAGGAAGGAGAGGGGCAAGAUUGGGUGAUUGUAUCAGUGAAGGAAGCACAGCCUCGUGGUAAAGUGAAGAAGGGGGAUGCAGUGUAUGGCAUUGUGGUGUGUGCUGCCAUGUAGAGGGGGCAAUGUGGUGGCAGUGAGAUCGAGUUUGAUGAUAAUGCAGUGAUCCUUGUUAACAAGCAGGGAGAGCCAGUCGGUACCUGUGUCUUUGGGCCAGUGCCACAUGAAUUCGGGAAGAAAAAACACGUCAAGAUUUUAAAUUUAGCUGAACAUAUAGCCUGAGGCAUCUAUUGGGUGCUCUAGCGUCUGUCAGCUACAGGAGUUCAACCAUCAGACAGUCUAACUAUGCAUCCUUUUGGGUUUUUGUGAUGAUUCAUCUCAGCCUAUUGACGGCAUUCGACAUGUUUUAAUUGGAGGAAUUAUGAUGCACCUGUCUAUAUAUAUCUAGCAACAGAGAAGCUGCAGAAACAUAAAGGUAAAGACUGCUUAAGAAACUGAUUCUCUGCAGAACACUCUUGAAGAAUCUAUUGUGCAAUCUUUCAUUUUGGAAGUGUUUGUGUGAUCAAUAAUAUUGCUUUCAAGUGCUUCCGACAUAUCAAAGGCAAGGCAGGUGCAUGUGAUUUGAUCAGCAUCUUCACACCCGAAGCAUGAAGAGACUUGCACGUCCCAGUUCUAAUUGCUGGCUAAACAAUGCCAGUCCAGUUCUGUGCCCCAUUUAUUGAAGGAAACAAUUACUCUUCGAUGAGUUUUUGGAUGACCAAGAUUGUCCUAGGUAUGUUAUCUCAUCUCAUCUCAUUCAAAUGUUCUAUCGAUCGGCUACCCGAUUAAUAGACUACUAAUCUCUUACUACAGAACUCGGGAUUCCUCUGCUACAUGCAAAGAAGUCGUCAUCUCAUGGACCAAAACAAACACUCAAGACUGACCAUUAUAUGUUAGUUAUUGCAAGAACUUCUUCAUCUGCAUUAUGCUUCAAGCGUUCCACAGCCUUGUCUACCUGCAAAAUCCCAGCAACAAAUUAACACCCCACAAGGAAGAAGAAGAUGAAACCUCUCUGCACCAGACUUGCCUCCGUGUUCCAGUUUGUCCUGGCUGUCAAGACUACGAGUGCCAGCGUCUGCACAAAGACUCCAAUUAUCAGCCCCCACCAUAUUCCCUGAAGCAGAGGUAGAGAUCAAGUGUUAGCCCGUCUGUGUGUGCCUCGACAAAUCCAUGGACCCCUGCACCCAAAGAACCCAGCACUCACAGCUGCUCCUAAGCUUGUUUUGAACCCGAGAACGCAUCCGAUGGGGAGGCCGAUGAAGUAGUAAGCCCCGACGUUCACGUAUGCAACGAUGCCUUGCCACCCACUCCCGAUAGCAACUCCUGUGAGAGAUUGAUUGUUCGCGCAGCAUUCAUCAGUGUGAUCUUACGGUCUCUUUUCUCAAACAUUGUGUGUUUGACAAGACGGAUGAGGGGAACAGCACCGUGUCAUACCUGAGAGGAUCGGUUGAACACCAUUCAAGAAAAUAGAGAUUGCAAGUAAUGGGGUCAACUGAACCACCAUUUGGAUCACAUCGGUGCUGCUGGUGUAGAGCUUGCUCAAGGGAGUGCGGAGCACGAGGACCAGCACACUGAUCACCACGCUGAUGCCGAGGCUCGUCGCGACGACGACGAUGACGGCGAGCCUCGCCACCCUCGGGUGGGCAGCGCCCAGCUCGUUGCCAACUCGAACGCUGCGAGAUCGAUCAAGGCCGAGAAAGAGUUCAAACUAGCGAGAAGACCGGAGUCUCCGAAAGUAGUCAAGAGUGUCGUCGAUCUCACACCAACCUGGCUGCGUUGCUCAAUCCCAGCAUGAUCAUGAAGUCCCAGUUCCAGUAGUUGACACUGCAGCAUUUGCCAGUUUCAAUGAUGAGUAUCCCGUCAGAAGGACAAAUCCUUGUACAUACCAAAUCUCCAAGCUGCACAAAGAGAAUGUAAUCUCAAUCCCUAUGAUAAGAGAGAGAGAGAGAGAGAGAGAGAGAGACUUACACUAGCAUGAUGGCUGAGGCGACAGU